rnacentral:rRNA from 1 species
CACGUAGGGACCAAGCGUUUGUCCGGAUUUAUGGGCGUAAAGCGCUCGUAGGCGGUUUGGUAAGUCGGGUGUGAAACCUCCAGGCUCAACCUGGUGACGCCACCCGAUACUGCCAUGACUUGAGUUCGGUAGGGGAGCGGGGAAUUCCUGGUGUAGCGGUGAAAUGCGCAGAUAUCAGGAGGAACACCGGUGGCGAAGGCGCCGCUCUGGGCCGAAACUGACGCUGAGGAGCGAAAGCGUGGGGAGCGAACAGG